GCGUCCGUAGCCGGUUUAAUAAGUCUCUGGUGAAAUCCUGUAGCUUAACUGUGGGAAUUGCUGGAGAUACUAUUAGACUGAGACCGGGAGAGGUUAGAGGUACUCCCAGGGUAGAGGUGAAAUUCUGUAAUCCUGGGAGGACCGCCUGUUGCGAAGGCGUCUAACUGGAACGGUUCUGACGGUGAGGGACGAAAGUUAGGGGCGCGAACCGGAUUAGAUACCCGGGUAGUCCUAACUGUAAACGAUGCGGACUUGGUGUUGGGGUAGGCUUUGAGCUGCUCCAGUGCCGAAGGGAAGCUGUUAAGUCCGCCGCCUGGGAAGUACGGUCGCAAGACUGAAACUUAAGGAAUUGGCGGGGGAGCACCACAACGCGUGGAGCCUGCCGGUUUAAUUGGAUUCAACGCCGGACAUCUCACCAGAGGCGACAGCUGUAUGAUAGCCAGGUUGAUGACUUUGCUUGACUAGCUGAGUGGUGGUGCAUGG
rnacentral:rRNA from 1 species